CUAACUAGCCUCUCUUGUUUCAUGUCUAAUCCUUGAGUCGCACAGAGCCAGCUCCUUUUCAGUCAGAUUCUGAGCCUCGUGUCUUUAAAUGAUGACCACUGCUGAAGUCUGCGUCAACCAGAAGGUUUCCAUCAUACUGACAGAUCAGACGUCAAUGUUCAGUGGUUUAAAUACCCAUGUGAAGUCUCUCUUAGUUUUUAAAGCAUAGCUUUUAUAGACAGGGCAAGACUUCUUCAGAUUUUGACCUCUCGUGGGGAACAAUCAAACUCUUUUUUUGAACGUUGUAUCUAUAAAACGGCCAUGAAUUCUUUACUGUGCUGUAAAACCACAGUAGCACGAUACAGUGUUAUAGUCCUGGGAUCUGUGCAGAUUGCAUGAAAUUGAAGGCAUUUUAGCAAACAGCAUGAGUUGUAAAAAGCAUUUGGUUUCUGCUGUUGUGCAAUGAUGACCGAGGUGAUUUGUAAAUGUGU